GAGAAGGCACAGGAAGCAGCUCCAGGAUGCAAGGAUAGAGUCUCUUAUAAUUAUCACAGGAUAUGGAAGAGCAAACAGUACCUUUUUUAAACUUUUCAAAGGUAGUGGUGCAGAAAAGAAACAAUUUGAAGCAAUCAGAGGCAUGUUGCAGCAAAAAUGUUUUGUAGCCAGCAUUUUCAAAAACAUUUGCAUUGGAGGAAAGCUCACCCUGGCAUUGUGGAAUUAGCAAUUAAAGAACAGAAAUAGCUAGACCAUUGUAAAUGAAGUUAAUGAAGACUUUAAAGGCUGAACACUGACAGUGGCAGACGACAGGCAGCGUGGAGUGACUUGCAGGGGUGCAGCACUCAGACUGGCAAUUCUGAUGAUCUAUUCACAUAGUCAGGAGUGACCUGGGACAAAUGGACAAGAAUGGGCUUUUUCCUAGCUACACUGGAGAUGACAGGACUGCCUGUUAAUAUUAGGAUUCUGCUGUUCCAGUUUACUGAGCAUCUAAAGAAGAUCUAAGAAGAAUCAAGGACUCCAAAACAUCCCCGGAUAAACAGAGCCAUUUAGAUUUUGCUGAAUUUGCUGUAUAUUUUUACAUUUAGCCUUCUCUUUCCCCAUUCCUUCCUUCAUGUAUGAGCCCCUGUACUCAUAAACCUGUGCGAAUUUAUUCAUCUUCCUCUUCCCACCUGAGUUACUGAUCUGUGAAUCUGCAAGUUUGAAU
rnacentral:lncRNA from 1 species